AGACCUUGCAUGAUGAAACACCACGGAUGUUUUAUAUUCCGAGAGUGCAAAUACAAACUAUGUGGAAGCUACCGUUGCCUUCCUUCUGACUCUUA
rnacentral:snoRNA from 1 species